UAUACCGUGAAACUGCGAAUGGCUCAUUAAAUCAGUUAUCGUUUAUUUGAUAAUACCUUACUACUUGGAUAACCGUGGUAAUUCUAGAGCUAAUACAUGCUGAAAAUCCCGACUUCGGAAGGGAUGUGUUUAUUAGAUAAAAAACCAAUGCCCUUCGGGGCUUUUUGGUGAUUCAUGAUAACUUUACGGAUCGCAUAGCCUUGCGCUGGCGACGGUUCAUUCAAAUUUCUGCCCUAUCAACUUUCGAUGGUAAGGUAUUGGCUUACCAUGGUUUCAACGGGUAACGGGGAAUUAGGGUUCGAUUCCGGAGAGGGAGCCUGAGAAACGGCUACCACAUCCAAGGAAGGCAGCAGGCGCGCAAAUUACCCAAUCCCGACACGGGGAGGUAGUGACAAUAAAUACUGAUACAGGGCUCUUUUGGGUCUUGUAAUUGGAAUGAGUACAAUUUAAACCUCUUAACGAGGAACAAUUGGAGGGCAAGUCUGGUGCCAGCAGCCGCGGUAAUUCCAGCUCCAAUAGCGUAUAUUAAAGUUGUUGCAGUUAAAAAGCUCGUAGUUGAAACUUGGGCCUGGCUGGCGGGUCCGCCUCACCGCGUGCACUCGUCCGGCCGGGCCUUCCUUCUGAAGAACCUCAUGCCCUUCACUGGGCGUGCUGGGGAAUCAGGACUUUUACUUUGAAAAAAUUAGAGUGUUCAAAGCAGGCCUUUGCUCGAAUACGUUAGCAUGGAAUAAUAAAAUAGGGCGCGCGUUUCUAUUUUGUUGGUUUCUAGAGACGCCGCAAUGAUUAACAGGAACAGUCGGGGGCAUCAGUAUUCAGUUGUCAGAGGUGAAAUUCUUGGAUUUACUGAAGACUAACUACUGCGAAAGCAUUUGCCAAGGAUGUUUUCAUUAAUCAGUGAACGAAAGUUAGGGGAUCGAAGACGAUCAGAUACCGUCGUAGUCUUAACCGUAAACUAUGCCGACUAGGGAUCGGGCGAUGUUCUUUUUCUGACUCGCUCGGCACCUUACGAGAAAUCAAAGU
rnacentral:rRNA from 1 species